rnacentral:tRNA from 1 species
AGAGGUUUACGUUAAUAUAGACGAUUUGUUUUCAAAACAAAAAGUGCUGGUUAAAGCAUCCUUUG